rnacentral:rRNA from 1 species
CAGGCUUAACACAUGCAAGUCGAGGGGCAGCAUGGUCUUAUCUUGCUAAGGCCGAUGGCGACCGGCGCACGGGUGAGUAACACGUAUCCAACCUGCCGUCUACUCUUGGACAGCCUUCUGAAAGGAAGAUUAAUACAAGAUGGCAUCAUGAGUCCGCAUGUUCACAUGAUUAAAGGUAUUCCGGUAGACGAUGGGGAUGCGUUCCAUUAGAUAGUAGGCGGGGUAACGGCCCACCUAGUCUUCGAUGGAUAGGGGUUCUGAGAGGAAGGUCCCCCACAUUGGAACUGAGACACGGUCCAAACUCCUACGGGAGGCAGCAGUGAGGAAUAUUGGUCAAUGGGCGAGAGCCUGAACCAGCCAAGUAGCGUGAAGGAUGACUGCCCUAUGGGUUGUAAACUUCUUUUAUAAAGGAAUAAAGUCGGGUAUGGAUACCCGUUUGCAUGUACUUUAUGAAUAAGGAUCGGCUAACUCCGUGCCAGCAGCCGCGGCAAUACGGAGGAUCCGAGCGUUAUCCGGAUUUAUUGGGUUUAAAGGGAGCGUAGAUGGAUGUUUAAGUCAGUUGUGAAAGUUUGCGGCUCAACCGUAAAAUUGCAGUUGAUACUGGAUAUCUUGAGUGCAGUUGAGGCAGGCGGAAUUCGUGGUGUAGCGGUGAAAUGCUUAGAUAUCACGAAGAACUCCGAUUGCGAAGGCAGCCUGCUAAGCUGCAACUGACAUUGAGGCUCGAAAGUGUGGGUAUCAAACAGGAUUAGAUACCCUGGUAGUCCACACGGUAAACGAUGAAUACUCGCUGUUUGCGAUAUACUGCAAGCGGCCAAGCGAAAGCGUUAAGUAUUCCACCUGGGGAGUACGCCGGCAACGGUGAAACUCAAAGGAAUUGACGGGGGCCCGCACAAGCGGAGGAACAUGUGGUUUAAUUCGAUGAUACGCGAGGAACCUUACCCGGGCUUAAAUUGCAGAUGAAUUACGGUGAAAGCCGUAAGCCGCAAGGCAUCUGUGAAGGUGCUGCAUGGUUGUCGUCAGCUCGUGCCGUGAGGUGUCGGCUUAAGUGCCAUAACGAGCGCAACCCUUGUUGUCAGUUACUAACAGGUUCCGCUGAGGACUCUGACAAGACUGCCAUCGUAAGAUGUGAGGAAGGUGGGGAUGACGUCAAAUCAGCACGGCCCUUACGUCCGGGGCUACACACGUGUUACAAUGGGGGGUACAGAGGGCCGCUACCACGCGAGUGGAUGCCAAUCCCCAAAACCUCUCUCAGUUCGGACUGGAGUCUGCAACCCGACUCCACGAAGCUGGAUUCGCUAGUAAUCGCGCAUCAGCCACGGCGCGGUGAAUACGUUCCCGGGCCUUGUACACACCGCCCGUCAAGCCAUGGGAGCCGGGGGUACCUGAAGUGCGUAACCGCGAGGAGCGCCCUAGGGUAAAACUGGUGACUGGGG